rnacentral:rRNA from 1 species
UACGUAGGGCGCAAGCGUUGUCCGGAUUUAUUGGGCGUAAAGAGCUCGUAGGCGGCUUGUUGCGUCGUCCGUGAAAACCCGUGGCUCAACUGCGGGCUUGCGGACGAUACGGGCAGGCUGGAGUUCGGUAGGGGAGACUGGAAUUCCUGGUGUAGCGGUGAAAUGCGCAGAUAUCAGGAGGAACACCGGUGGCGAAGGCGGGUCUCUGGGCCGAUACUGACGCUGAGGAGCGAAAGCGUGGGAAGCGAACAGG